AGGCACGUAGCUCAGUUGGUUAGAGCACCACCUUGACAUGGUGGGGGUCGUUGGUUCGAAUCCAAUCGCGCCUACCA
rnacentral:tRNA from 1 species